GGAGCGGGCCCGCUGCGCCGGGCACAGUGAAGUCGAAAGGAGAUGGUGGGUCGGAACAGCGCCAUCGCCGCCGGCGUGUGCGGGGCCCUCUUCAUCGGGUACUGCAUUUACUUCGACCGCAAGCGGCGAAGUGAUCCCAACUUCAAGAACAGGCUUCGAGAACGAAGAAAGAAACAGAAGCUUGCCAAGGAGAGAGCUGGACUUUCUAAGUUACCUGACCUUAAAGAUGCGGAAGCUGUUCAGAAAUUUUUCCUUGAAGAAAUACAGCUUGGUGAAGAGUUACUGGCUCAAGGUGAAUAUGAGAAGGGUGUGGGCCAUCUGACAAAUGCAAUUGCUGUAUGUGGACAGCCACAGCAGUUGCUGCAGGUGUUACAGCAAACUCUUCCACCACCGGUAUUCCAGAUGCUUCUCACUAAGCUCCCAACAAUCAGUCAGAGAAUUGUAAGUGCUCAGAGCUUGGCUGAAGAUGAUGUGGAAUGAAAACAAGUCUCAACAUAAUAAAAUCUCAAAAAGAUUUUAAAAAUUCUAAGCUCAGAAGUUGAACGACUGGGGGAAUAAGGGCAAAUAUGCUUAUUAGUGGACUGUCCUACACUGAAAUCUACCAAAGUUAAUGUUUACUUUGUGUAGAUACAUUUGUCAGUUAUUUAUUUUUCCCAGUGAAAAGUGUAUUUUAAUAGAGAGCUUUUCAUUUUAUAAAAACACUAUGAGUUACCAAAAUACGAAUUUUGUUUAUUCCUUAGCCUUGUAGUUAAAAUGUACAUAAACCAUUAAAAAACCCAAUGCUUAGUUUUAAAGAAUAGGCAAAA